GCUGGCGGCGUGCCUAAUGCAUGCAAGCCGAACGGCCCGAUUUAUCGGGCAGUGGCGAACGGGUGAGUAACACGUAAGAACCAACCCUCAAGUGGGGGAUAACCCCGAGAAAUCGGGGCUAAUACCGCAUAAGCUCCCCGAUUAUAUCGGGGAGGAAAGCUGAGGCGCUUGGGGACGGGCUUGCGUCCGAUUAGCUAGUUGGUGAGGUAAUGGCUCACCAAGGCUGAGAUCGGUAGCUGGUCUUAGAGGAUGAUCAGCCACACUGGGACUGAGAUACGGCCCAGACUCCUACGGGAGGCAGCAGCAGGGGAUAUUGCGCAAUAGGUGAAAGCCUGACGCAGCAACGCCGCGUGGGGGAAGAAGGUUUUCGGAUCGUAAACCCCUUUUCCCGGGGAAGAUUAUGACGGUACCCGGGGAAUAAGUCUCGGCUAACUACGUGCCAGCAGCCGCGGUAAGACGUAGGAGGCGAGCGUUAUCCGGAAUUAUUGGGCGUAAAGGGCGUGUAGGCGGCUCUUCAAGUCUGUGGUGAAAUCUCCCGGCUCAACUGGGAGGGUGCCAGAGAAACUGGAGGGCUUGAGGGCAGUAGAGGGGGGUGGAAUUCCCGGUGUAGUGGUGAUAUGCGUAGAUAUCGGGAGGAACACCAGUGGCGAAGGCGGCCCCCUGGGCUGUUCCUGACGCUGAAGCGCGAAAGCGUGGGGAGCAAACAGGAUUAGAUACCCUGGUAGUCCACGCCGCAAACGAUGGACACUAGGUAUGGGGGGUAUCGACCCCUUCCGUGCCGAAGCUUACGCCAUAAGUGUCCCGCCUGGGGAUUACGGCCGCAAGGCUAAAACUCAAAGGAAUUGA
rnacentral:rRNA from 1 species